ACUGAGAAUAGAGUCACAUCUUUACAUGUUCUGUUGUUCUGGUGUGCUAUCGUUCUCAGACAUAAACUUCUGAUCCUCAUUCACUGGCUGCGAUACCUCAUAUCUCAGUCAGCCACCAAAUCAGUGACAGUA
ensembl:snoRNA